CCCGAAUGCAUUCUUGACCAACCUUGAAGCAUGAGGACCUGGAGCAAAAGGUGAAAUCCUCCCUUGUGCAGAAGGCUAGCAUGAGACCUAUGCCCCACUGACAUCCAGUUCAAGCCCUAUUCUAGGCUAGACCCAUUUUUGACCGAGAAAAGAAAAAACCUUUUCCAAGGAGCCCUAUUUGGCAGCUAGACAUACCAC